GCGGUAGGGAGUUUGUCGAAGAGGGUGUUGCCCUGGGGUUUCUACCCUGUGGGUAGCCAGCAGGGUAUACCCGGGCUGGUUGGAGAAUGUAUCCCCUUUUUCCCGGAUCAGCUCUAGUAUUUGAGCUCGCUCUCUAGUGCUCAACCUGUCUCCUAGCUGUACUUCCCCUAAUUCGGUGUUGGCCCCCCCUUGGGCUAAUAGGUCUGGUAAGGGUAGAUUAUCCGGGUCCUCGGCGACCGAGGCACAUAUGGCAGUUACUUCUUCGGUCCGCUCGUGAUAGGGUUUCAGCAUGUUAACGUGGAGCAUGCGUCUACCGCCUGCUCCUG